UGCAAAACCAAAAAAGACAUAUACAUCUACAAAAAAUCAAUCAUGAACAAUAACAAUAUGCAACAGUUUAUUUAGAAACAGAAAACUAAUGCAAAAACUUUCCAAACAGUGUAAUCUUUAAAAGUGCAUACUUCAAAGAGAUUAAGUGAAUUACAAACUCUCCAAUUAAAAUGUGGAAUAAAGUAAAUGCAUGCAAACCCCACAAGAAAGCCAAACAAAUUAAUGGUUUAUCUAAUAGCCUCAAAUUAUAUAAGAGACCAACCAUUCCAGCAUCAAACAUGUGUGCAAAAACCAGCGAUCAUGGAA
rnacentral:lncRNA from 1 species